rnacentral:rRNA from 1 species
AGAGUUUGAUCAUGGCUCAGAACGAACGCUGGCGGCGCGCCUAAUACAUGCAAGUCGAGCGAGAAGACGUAGCAAUACGUUUGUAAAGCGGCGAACGGGUGAGGAAUACAUGGGUAACCUACCCUCGAGUGGGGAAUAACUAGCCGAAAGGUUAGCUAAUACCGCAUACGAUUCCCGGACUACGGUUCGGGAAGGAAAGCGAUACCAUGGGUAUCGCGCUCUUGGAUGGGCUCAUGUCCUAUCAGCUUGUUGGUGAGGUAAUGGCUCACCAAGGCUUCGACGGGUAGCUGGUCUGAGAGGACGAUCAGCCACACUGGCACUGCGACACGGGCCAGACUCCUACGGGAGGCAGCAGUAAGGAAUAUUGCGCAAUGGACGAAAGUCUGACGCAGCGACGCCGCGUGGGGGAUGAAGGUCUUCGGAUUGUAAACCCCUUUCGGGAGGGAAGAUGGAGUGGGGUAACCCAUUCGGACGGUACCUCCAGAAGCAGCCACGGCUAACUUCGUGCCAGCAGCCGCGGUAAU